rnacentral:rRNA from 1 species
AUUGAACGCUGGCGGCAGGCUUAACACAUGCAAGUCGAGCGGGGUGAUGGUGCUUGCACUAUCACUUAGCGGCGGACGGGUGAGUAAUGCUUAGGAAUCUGCCUAUUAGUGGGGGACAACAUCUCGAAGGGGAUGCUAAUACCGCAUACGUCCUACGGGAGAAAGCAGGGGAUCACUUGUGACCUUGCGCUAAUAGAUGAGCCUAAGUCGGAUUAGCUAGUUGGUGGGGUAAAGGCCUAACAAGGCGACGAUCUGUAGCGGGUCUGAGAGGAUGAUCCGCCACACUGGGACUGAGACACGGCCCAGACUCCUACGGGAGGCAGCAGUGGGGAAUAUUGGACAAGGGGGGGAACGCUGAUCCAGCCAUGCCGCGUGUGUGAAGAAGGCCUUAUGGUUGUAAAGCACUUUAAGCGAGGAGGAGGCUCUUUUGGUUAAUACCCAAGAUGAGUGGACGUUACUCGCAGAAUAAGCACCGGCUAACUCUGUGCCAGCCGCCGCCGUAA